rnacentral:rRNA from 1 species
GCUGCGGUCUAUUCGCUUGGAACAGCGGGUCAGAGAGGGUGAGAAUCCCGUCCAGGGCUGCGCGCCGCGUCCAUGUGAAGCUCCUUCGACGAGUCGAGUUGUUUGGGAAUGCAGCUCUAAAUGGGUGGUAAAUUUCAUCUAAAGCUAAAUAUUGGCCAGAGACCGAUAGCGCACAAGUAGAGUGAUCGAAAGAUGAAAAGCACUUUGAAAAGAGAGUUAAACAGUAUGUGAAAUUGUUGAAAGGGAAGCGCUUGCAAUCAGACUUGCGUGCGGCGGUUCCCCCGGUCUCCGGACCGGGUCACUCCGCCGUCACCAGGCCAGCAUCGGUUUGGGUGGCCGGUCAAAGGCCCCGGGAAUGUAUCUACCCUCGGGUCGACUUAUAGCCCGGGGUGCAAUGCGGCCCUCCCGGACCGAGGAACGCGCUUCGGCUCGGAUGCUGGCGUAAUGGUUGCAAGCGGCCCGUCUUGAAACACGGACCAAGGAGUCUAACAUCUAUGCGAGUGUUUGGGUGUCAAACCCCUACGCGCAAUGAAAGUGAACGGAGGUAAGAGCCCCGUCAGGGGUGCAUUAUCGACCGAUCCUGAUGUCUUCGGAUGGAUUUGAGUAAGAGCAUAGCUGUUGGGACCCGAAAGAUGGUGAACUAUGCGUGGAUAGGGUGAAGCCAGAGGAAACUCUGGUGGAGGCUCGCAGCGGUUCUGACGUGCAAAUCGAUCGUCAAAUCUGCGCAUAGGGGCGAAAGACUAAUCGAACCGUCUGGUAGCUGGUUCCUGCCGAAGUUUCCCUCAGGAUAGCAGUAACGUCUUCAGUUUUAUGAGGUAAAGCGAAUGAUUAGUGGUCCGGGGAUUGCAACAAUCUUCUCCAAUUCUCAAACUUUAAAUAUGUAAGAAGUCCUUGU